GAGAAACUGAACAUACACAGAUAUUUGGGGACUAACUCAAUAAUGAAUCUGAAGACCAAAGCCAUUAAGUGACCUAAGAAUGGUCCCCCACUGGUCAGUGCAGUGCCAAGACAGAGCAUUACAAGGCUUUGGUUAAAAACAGGCUCUGCAGUCAGUCCGCUCAAGUCCACAUCCCACGUUCCUAUUUGCCAGCUGUGUGACCUCAGGCAAAAGACUCCAAAUCCAGUGUUUCUCAUCACCAUGUGAAAGCAGAGUAAAGGCAAAAGGCCAGCAAAGGCAACUGAAGAUAAUCAGACAUUCCUGAGAAGAAAUCCAGCUCUGCCUUCGUUAACCACCUCUCUUUUCUGGGAUGCUGCUACAGCAUGGGUGGAUGAGCAGUGCUAGGUCCACGUCCAGGAUCUGAACCCAUGGACUCCAGGCCGCUGAAGUGGAGGAUAAAGAAACUGAGGCACAGAGAGGUUAACUAACUAGCCCAAGGUCACAAAAUUUGAUAGAGGCAGAGCUUGGAUCUUAACCAGAGCAGUCUGACCUCAGAACUGAGUAUCUUUACCACUGUCCUCUGCUGUGUCUGAAGAAUGAAAAGGAGCUUCAUUUAUUCUCCGUCAAUGAAACUACGUGACCUAUUUAAGGAGUACAGCAUCAGACAGAACCACAUCAACACAAUGAGCUUGCAAAUGAGCUUGCAAAUGGAGCAGAGCAUACACCACCAAGACAGGCAUAUUUCUGGGCCACAGAAAGUCUUAAAUGCUGUUUUAUAUAACAAUAUUUAAACUUUCCAAUUUGCGAUUUUCUUUGCAAUAAAAUGUCUUGUUAACAUACUGAAUAAGUUUCACAAUCAACUUUCUAAUGCUUAGGGACUCCAGUAUGAAAAUCUUUCCUUACUGUGCCUUAAGAAAUCCUGAUUCUG
rnacentral:lncRNA from 1 species